rnacentral:lncRNA from 1 species
CUUCAGUUGUGAAAAUGAAUCUCUGGCGUUAGAGCAGUAGAUCAGUGGUAAAUUUUGCUGCGGAGUUACUGUUGAGAAACGACAAUAACAUAGUAAAGAGUGCUAUUCAAGAAGUUUCCGAAGGGACUGUCGAAAAUAUUGCAAGAUCAAAAGCCACUCCUUCAUGUGUUUGAACACGUGCACUUAAUUGGCAGUGAAAGCUUGUUGGUGUAUGUGGAAAACAGACAACUAAUAAAAACUUUGAGGUGCCUCGACGAGCGGGAUCAUUUACCACCAGCACAAAUCACUGUAAAGUGUCUACUGUAAGAGAAGUAGACGAAUCACCUUAUGUUCCUUAUGAUGGCCCGGGGGAGUGUAGCAAUAACAGCAUCAGAAAUCCAUCAGCUCUUGGAGGCAGUUUUCACAAUGUAGGAGACAAAGGUAAUUAAAUGACUGUUGUUGUGACACACUAGGAUUGGUAAAUAAAAAGGUGAAUGCAGAGAAAAUGUUACACAGACAUCUAAUUCUGUUCAUUGUUAUGUGCAUGUAACAAUAAAGUGCUUUCCUGCAGCAUAA